AGGACCAGAAUAAUGCUUUGCCCACAGUUAGGUACUUUAUACCACAGAGGAAAGAUCUUUCUGACACUACACAGUAUCUCUGGAGGGGACAACCAUUAGUUUUAAUCACAUGUAAUCUUUAAGUAACAGUUCCUCUGUAUUUUAUGGUCUCUGUUCUCUUCAUGUGGACACAGUGGUCAGUGCUCUGUUAGAUAAGCAAAGGACCCUCCCUCAGUCUACAUUGUAGAUUCUGGAAAGCUUACCACAUUACACCAACUAUUCCUUGUGGAAAGCAAAGAGAUAACGUAGGCAUAUAAAAACCUUUACCUUUUUGUGCUAUUGAGCUUGUUUUGCAAGGUUAGUUAGAACUUGGGCUAUUUUUGUAUUUGUAAUAGAUGAUUUAAACCAUGCAGGGUUUGAUACACAUAUAUAAUAUUAAUAACUCAGAAAGCCAAGACAGAAGGAUUAUGACUUUGAAGCCAGCUUGGGCUACAUAAUGAAAAUCUUGAUGUUCAGGAGAAUCUUUUAAUACUGGUAUUAUAUGAUUUUUUUGGGUUUUUGUUCCUUUUAUUUUAAAGCAAAAUCAUUUUAAUGAAGGUAGACUCACACACACACACACACACACACACACACACACACACACACACACUACCAAAAGGUGGGUAAUCUACUUUCAUUGUUGUGAUAAAAUACCCUGAUAGAAAGUAACUUAGAAAGAGUUUAUAUUUCCAGGUUUUAUCCAGGAACUUCAAACAGCUAAUCAUAUCACGUCCACAAUCAAGAGCAGAGAGACACGAGUGUACACGCCCAUUUACCUCAGUCAGCUGUGCUGUAUUUCUCUACUUUUGCACAACUGCAGACCCUCUGCCUAAGGAAUGGUGCUGCCCACAGUGGGUUGUGCCUUUACCAAUCAUUUACUCAUGACAAUCAACCUCUUACAGAUUUACCCAUGGGCCAACAUGUUGCAGAU
rnacentral:lncRNA from 1 species